UACGUAGGGUGCAAGCGUUGUCCGGAAUUAUUGGGCGUGAAGAGCUCGUAGGCGGUCUGUCACGUCGGCUGUGAAAACCCGGGGCUCAACCCCGGGCCUGCAGUCGAUACGGGCAGACUAGAGUGCGGUAGGGGAGACUGGAAUUCCUGGUGUAGCGGUGAAAUGCGCAGAUAUCAGGAGGAACACCGGUGGCGAAGGCGGGUCUCUGGGCCGAUACUGACGCUGAGGAGCGAAAGCGUGGGGAGCGAACAGG
rnacentral:rRNA from 1 species